AACGAACGCUGGCGGCAUGCCUAACACAUGCAAGUCGAACGAGACCUUUGGGUCUAGUGGCGCACGGGUGGGUAACGCGUGGGAAUUUGCCCUUGGGUUUGGGAUAACAGUUGGAAACGACUGGUAAUUCCGGAUAACGACUUCGGUCCAAAGAUUUAUUGCCCAGGGAUGAGCCCGCGUUGGAUUAGCUAGUUGGUGAGGUAAAGGCUCACCAAGGGGACGAUCCUUAGCUGGUUUGAGAGGAUGAUCAGCCACCCUGGGACUGAGACACGGCCCAGACUCCUUCGGGAGGCAGCAGUGGGGAAUAUUGGACAAUGGGCGAAAGCCUGAUCCAGCAAUGCCGCGUGAGUGAUGAAGGCCUUAGGGUUGUAAAGCUUUUUUACCCGGGAUGAUAAUGACAGUACCGGGAGAAUAAGCCCCGGCUAACUUCGUG
rnacentral:rRNA from 1 species